UACGUAGGGUGCGAGCGUUGUCCGGAAUUACUGGGCGUAAAGAGUUCGUAGGCGGUUUGUCGCGUCGUCUGUGAAAACCCAUCGCUCAACGAUGGGCCGGCAGGCGAUACGGGCAGACUUGAGUACUGCAGGGGAGACUGGAAGUUCCUGGUGUAGCGGUGAAAUGCGCAGAGUAUCAGGAGGAACACCGGUGGCGAAGGCGGGUCUCUGGGCAGUGAACUGACGCUGGAGGAA
rnacentral:rRNA from 1 species